GAAAUAAUGAAAACUUAGAAGCGGAAUGAAUGGCAUGAUUUUAU
rnacentral:sRNA from 1 species